AUAUGACUGAAGGAGAAGUGUCAUGGACAUUAAUUCAGAUCCCAGACUAUUGUCAAAUGCAACAGACAAGUUGAGAAGAAUGAAGACCUAAAAAAAGAUUAUGAGAAGCAUCACUUCAUAAAAGAUCAGAAAGCUAUGGAGAGAAAAGUAAGCUUGCGGAAAGUUUGGGUGAGGUUUACAUCUAGGUGGCACAGAGGAUAGAGUACCAGG